AGGACCAACUGAAAAAUGCACAAACAUGGAUAAAGGAAACGACCCAGUCUUGUUCCACAGUAGCUGCACUUGUUGCUACUGUUGUCUUUGCUGCUGCCUAUACUGUGCCCGGAGGUUCUGAUAAGAAUGGCACGCCCAACUUCAUCAACUCUCCCUAUUUUCUGGUUUUCACUGUCUCGGAUGUUCUUUCCUUAGCAAGCUCCUUGACUUCGCUUGUGGUAUUUCUGUCUUUGUUGACCUCUCCAUUUCAGCAACAAGAAUUUCACAUCUCUCUUCCUCGGAAACUUCUUGUUGGCUUCACCUUCCUCUUCUUUGCUGUGAUAACGACCAUGCUAUCUUUUGGGGCCACAAUCUUGAUACUCAUUCAGUCAGAGAAAAAAUUGACAACAUUACUCCUUUCCAUGGCUGCAUUCCUUCCAGUCUUCGUAUUUGCAAUAAUGCAAUUCCGUCUGUACGUCUCAUUUAUGGGCUCU
rnacentral:lncRNA from 1 species